CAUUUUUACCCAAAUUAAAAUCUCUUCUACUUCUACCGUUGUUUCACUCCUAUCAUAGAAUCCCAAGCUAAUCCCAAUCAAACCCUAAUCAAGCAAUAGAACCCGAGCCAUGUCGAUUAGAAAAUUACAGUGAGCUUGCAUGCGGUAGUAUGAGCAGUGGAGCUCACGAAGCUGCACUUGAUUCGUGGAUAGUGUAAUCAUCGGAAGCGGAAGUGAUCACAUCAGCGUGACGAGGGUUCCAAACGGAGGAAUAGAUACAAUAAGCGUGUUCUUUGAAAGUGCGAACAGAAGUGAGACGAUCGAGAGUUCAUAACUUGACGAUGUCAUCCCAUGAUCCGGAGAGGAAAGAGUCACAACAAACGGGGUUGAGCGGUGGCGACGGCCAUGCAGUUUUCUUAAAAUGGACUGAACUUGACGGAGUAACCGUUGAAUGGGGUUUUGAAAACCAACAUCAUUUUGAGAAUCGGAGUUUGGUUAGGUGAAAAAGUGAGUGUUAGGUUAAAAAGUGAGUGUUAGGUGUUUGAUGUUAUGCGCCUGAUGUUGGUUCUCUUUGAUUCGUCAUAUGUUUGUCAAUAAGGGGUUUAAGGAUUGAUAUAUAGUGGCAACUAUGCAAUGCAAGAUUGAAGAUUACCAGCUAGUUCAGAUGUCAUAGAAAAAUAUGUAUAUGUUUCUCAAGUAUGCUACCCUUUUUAUCUUUUUAUAAUAACUUUGCUUCAACGUGAUCAACUCGGGAACAAAGCCACUUGCAGCAUAUUUAUUUACAAAGGACGAUAAGUUCAAGGAACAAUUUGUAAAGAAAGUUUAUGCUGGUGGUUUGCUUAUUAAUGACACUGCCUUACAUCUUGUGGUUUAUACUUUGCCAUUUGGGGAAGUUGGAGACAGUGGAAUGGGUGCAUACCAUGAAAUUUGGUUAUAUUCACAUCAAGUUCUAUGGAUCCAAAGUUCAUCUCUAGCCCUUCCUUUGUUCCAUUACUAAGAAAGUUAGUAUUAAAACAGUUGAUUUGAAAGGCCUUACAAAUCAACAAAAAUUAGCAUUUUGGAUCAACUUGUACAAUGCUUGUAUCAUGCAUGGAUUCAUCCAAUAUGGAGUGCCAUCCACCCCAUAAAAGCUAACAACAUUGAUGAACAAGAUUGCAGAACUUCAAUUUAGAGGAUAACGAAUUUGGGCAGCUGCAAUGGGAAGUUGGGAAAAUCAGUGCUUCUUUUCUUAGAAUUUUAUUAACAGUGUUAGAACUCCACUCUUUCUUCUUAAUGUUGCUUAUGAUUCAUAGCAGAUGUGCAAUUUUGGUGGUAAGCCAUGGGGAUCCCUUGCAAAUCUUGCAAACAAUUUUGCUUGAUGCUAAUAAACACAAGGGUCCCUCUUAUGAUGACUUAGCUUCAAGUUUAGAGGCAGUUCAGGUGACACCGAUCUUGUCCCAGCACCACCAAUACGCAAUACAAACUGGAGAGCUCAGGGGAGUCAUUUAAGGUCUAGCAUAGAGCCAACUUACUGUUUUGGUUGGAUUUGAAUCCUAUAUUCCAUUAUUUACUUUUUAUAUUCAUAACCAAAACUUUUUGGAGUAUUUAUCAAAUAUUUUGUUUAGGCAGAGGAUUAUUGUUCUUUAUGAAAUUAGUUUGCAGUUUA